GUUCAAGUCUUUUGCCUUCCUGUACAGGAGCUUCAAGUGUUUGAUGCUUUCCUGGCACUGGGCCCGAGCCUGCUGAACACCCACUUGAUCCAGCCUCCAUGAAAUUUCCCGGGUAGAGGCUGUUUCUCUCUCAGGUAUUCUAGCAUGGACCAACACCUUCCCUGCUUCUUCUUCCCCACAAAAUGCUACUUGAUCUCCAGGAAACCUCUUGGGGGACAGUACCUUCCCUGGCAUGGCUUCCAUACCCUCGUGUGCUGCUGCUGAGCCAUCUCCUGCCAGAAAUAUCAGGACCCUAGAAAUUCCCUGCUGUACACCAGAUCCUUCUGCUGCUCCCACUUUGGAUUGGAGUGCCCGAGGAGCCCUCACUUCACCCCUUUUAUAGAAUGUGUUGUGUGUCUUGUAGAUCUGAGAGAUACAAAAACCUCCUUCUCCUUUACUGUUUAAGACACUGCCCUCAAUAGGUACCAGUUUUUAUGGAUUUAUACAUAGGCGAAGGAUACAUAGAGUCCAAGUACUUGCUUCUCCAUCAUAGCAUCAACACUGAUAUGCAAAGCCAGAACACUAGCUCCUGAUUUAUUAAACAGUGUGGGAAGAGAGAGAACACAACACUCUGUUGAGAGCAUAUUGAUUCAGACAAUACAUAAUUAAUACAGAUUAAAUACAAUAAUAGAAGAGCACUCAUGUUGUGCUCCUUGUGCAUGACACACAAAGGCAAACUGAAGACCAUCGUAACCUGCUCUGUGGCACCAUAAAGAUUGAGAA